rnacentral:lncRNA from 1 species
UAGAAGUCAGGUCGGAUUAAGCCAUAGUACGGAAAAAACUAUGCUACCUGUGAGCCCCGUCCAAGGACGUUAAAAGAAGUCAGGCCACUACAAGUGCCAUAGCUUGAGCAAACUAUGCAGCCUGUAGCUCCACCUGGGAAGGUGUAAAAAAUCUGGGAGGCCACAAACCAUGGAAGCUGUACGCAUGGCGUAGUGGACUAGCGGUUAGAGGAGACCCCUCCCUUGCAAGUCGCAGCAACAAUGGGGGCCCAAGGUGAGAUGA